GAUGAACGCUGGCGGCGUGCCUAAUACAUGCAAGUCGAGCGAACAGACGAGGAGCUUGCUCCUCUGACGUUGGCGGCGGACGGGUGAGUAACACGUGGAUAACCUACCUAUAAGACUGGGAUAACUUCGGGAAACCGGAGCUAAUACCGGAUAAUAUAUUGAACCGCAUGGUUCAAUAGUGAAAGACGGUUUUGCUGUCACUUAUAGAUGGAUCCGCGCCGCAUUAGCUAGUUGGUAAGGUAACGGCUUACCAAGGCAAAGAUGCGUAGCCGACCUGAGAGGGUGAUCGGCCACACUGGAACUGAGACACGGUCCAGACUCCUACGGGAGGCAGCAGUAGGGAAUCUUCCGCAAUGGGCGAAAGCUUGACGGAGCAACGCCGCGUGAGUGAUGAAGGUCUUCGGAUCGUAAAACUCUGUUAUUAGGGAAGAACAAAUGUGUAAGUAACUAUGCACGUCUUGACGGUACCUAAUCAGAAAGCCACGGCUAACUACGUG
rnacentral:rRNA from 1 species